GAUGAACGCUGGCGGCGUGCCUAAUACAUGCAAGUCGAGCGAACAGACGAGGAGCUUGCUCCUCUGACGUUAGCGGCGGACGGGUGAGUAACACGUGGAUAACCUACCUAUAAGACUGGGAUAACUUCGGGAAACCGGAGCUAAUACCGGAUAAUAUAUUGAACCGCAUGGUUCAAUAGUGAAAGACGGUUUUGCUGUCACUUAUAGAUGGAUCCGCGCCGCAUUAGCUAGUUGGUAAGGUAACGGCUUACCAAGGCAACGAUGCGUAGCCGACCUGAGAGGGGGAUGGGCCACAAUGGAACUGAGACACGGUCCAGAGUCAUAAGGGAGGCAGCAGUAGGGAAUAUUACGAAAAGGGCGAAAGAGUGAAGGAGCAACGCAGCGUGAGUGAUGAAGGUCUUCGGAUCGUAAAACUCUGUUAUUAGGGAAGAACAAAUGGGUAAGUAAAUAUGCACGUCUUGACGGUACCUAAUCAGAAAGCCACGGCUAACUACGUG
rnacentral:rRNA from 1 species